rnacentral:rRNA from 1 species
ACUAACGGAGGGACUGACUCCACGGAGGGUGUAAGACCCGUGUGGGCGCGUGUAAAAGCUGAUUGGGGUUGGCCUCUUUCCCUGAGAGUCGCGUUGCUCUGGCAUGCAGCGCUAAGCAGGUCGUAAACUCGAUCUAAGGCUAAAUAUUUCCACAGGCCCGAUAGCGAACAAGUACCGUGAGGGAAAGUUGAAAAGCACUCUGAAGAGAGAGUCAAAAGACCGUGAAACCGCUCAGAGUAUAAGCCCAUGGAGCUCGGAAGGCAUACCGCAGUCCUAUAACAAGGUCGGCUUGCACGAAGGUCUGUCAGGCAGUGGCAUUGAGUUGAUAUCACGCUGACGUGCGGAGGAGGAAACUGGUCGCGUAGCCGGGCUUCGGCUCGGUUUGCACGGCCAGCUACUCUUUUGAUCACGGACUUUCAAGGGUGCUUGCCGUAUGCGGAAACGCCCACCACGUCUCGUUGCGUGGUCACCCACAGGCUCGACUGUCGAUCGCGUGUUCACCUCGUUCGCAGAGAUGUGUCAUGGCUGUCCCGCCUCCCCUCUAGGAGACGGGACGACACUAGCGGCGAGGCUAAUGGAAUUGAACCGGACGGCGACUGAGAUAAACCUGGUAUGAUC